ensembl:snRNA U6 U6 spliceosomal RNA
GCGCUUGCUUCAGCAGCACAUAUACUAAAAUGGGAAUGAUACAGAGAAAAUUAUCAUGAUCCCUGCAAAAGGAUGACAUGCAAAUUUGUGAAGAGAAUAGGCACUGU